GACGAACGCUGGCGGCGUGCUUAACACAUGCAAGUCGAACGAUGAAGCCGGAGCUUGCUCUGGUGAAUUAGUGGCGAACGGGUGAGUAACACGUGAGUAACCUGCCCUUGACUCUGGGAUAACUGCGGGAAACUGUAGCUAAUACCGGAUACGACCCUCGGAGGCAUCUCCUGGGGGUGGAAAGAAUUUCGGUCAAGGAUGGACUCGCGGCCUAUCAGCUAGUUGGUGAGGUAAAGGCUCACCAAGGCGACGACGGGUAGCCGGCCUGAGAGGGUGACCGGCCACACUGGGACUGAGACACGGCCCAGACUCCUACGGGAGGCAGCAGUGGGGAAUAUUGCACAAUGGGCGCAAGCCUGAUGCAGCAACGCCGCGUGAGGGAUGACGGCCUUCGGGUUGUAAACCUCUUUUAUGUGCGAAGAAUAUGACUGUAACACAUGAAUAAGGGACGGCUAACUACGUGCCAGCCGCCGCGGUAA
rnacentral:rRNA from 1 species